GGCUUUGAUGACCACUGUUAUUUGUCAGCAGUGAGGUUUGAAUCCACGACCCCUUACGGAGAACUAAAGUUGAGUCUAAUGACCAAGACCUGAGAAGCCCCACAGGAGUAAGACUUCUCUUACUGCAAACGACGCCGUUACAAGUGUAUAGUGAUACGGUGAUAGGCCCUUCCCGGUCGGUGAUCUGGUGACCAUGUUCUCAACUGAGCUUGUUAAUCUAUUCUCUACUACGGCCUUCUGUGUUCUGAGUUGCCUACUUUUUCGCUGUAUUAUGCUCGUGUCUUUAUUAUUGGGGGUGUCUUGUGCCCAGGUUGAAGUAACCAAGGCCAUUGCUCAUCCAGCAAUUAUAGUCUUCGCCAAGCAUGUGCUGCGCUGUGGCAACGUAAACUUCCAAUGCGGCUUGACCAGCAGAUGUGCCUGGAAGCGAAUGAGCAAGCAACUUCUUGGAGCUCCAAAGCUGAGUAGUUGGAGUUUGUUAAUUCUCUGAUUCUUGCUUCUCUGUGGUAUAGUUCCCGAGAUUCUGCUUUCGUUAAUGUUGGUGAUCCUGCAAACUCAAGUGAGGUCUCCUUAUUCCUUAGUUCCUCCAUUUUGAACCUUAGGGUUUCGUCGAUAAACUCUCUUGUGCUGGGACUGGAUCUAUUGCUGAUCUGUGCUAUGUCUACUCCAUCCACGCAAAGAUCAAGGAGUUUGUUGUAGUGCUUCGGAUUGCAGUGUCGAGGGUUCUGUGACUCAGUUGGUGGGUGCUCUUCUGCUGCUGCAAUUCUAUGUGUUUAUGUUUCUGUUGUCCAUCUCCUGAAUGACAUCAGUGAAGAGCUUUUUGAUGGCCCCUUUUACAUUGACCUUAAGGUCGAUGUCAAUUUUCUCUGAGUUGACUGAAUCUCUGUCUUAUGCGUGGGAGGUUUGUGUUGGUAUCUGGAAAGACGUGGGUUGUCCUUGCGUGGCCAGUCUAAGGGGCAGAAAGGCCUCUAGAGGUAUUGGUUUCUAUUGAGGUUCCUCCGUACUUGUUGAAAAUACUUCUUUUAUUGUCCAAAUUUUGUUGAAUAUUCCUUUGAGCUCUGCUGCCUUCGUUGCUGAGUAUUUUUGCUUGGAGAGGUCUUGCCAUGCGGCCAUUCCGAUUUGUGUUGUUGUUCUCCAGUUUGUGUAGAGGACUUUUUCAAGACUGAAUGGAGUACCAUUCAGUACUUAAUUGCAUUUCUUCACCCAAAUGAUCCACAAGAAGGCCCCUCGAAGAAUCUCCCAAGCUGUGUUGUCAUUGACUACUGUGUUGCGGAUCCAAGCGAUUGUUUUUUCAAUUGUGGCAAGACUGGCUGUAUCAUGUAGUCCCAUGUUGACCGUGUUCUAGUCGAUGUAAUGCUUAUGUAUGCGUGCGGUUGUGCGCAGCUGGUUGAAUUGUGUCCAUGCCUCGGUGACUAUCAGACAUUUGAAGAGUGCGUGUUCGGCAGAUUCGGUUGCUGGAUCAUUGCAGAGCCUGCACAAAAGAUCCCAGUACUUUUAGGUCCCCACUUACAACUGUCUGAAUGACUAUUCUCCAUGCCACUUUAGCUUUAGUUGAUUUGCCUACUGUUGCUCCUCAGAGGUAGUUUCUGACCAUACCUCUUGUUGGUUGAAGACUGUUAUGGCUAUGGAUGAACAGGAGCAAAGGUACCAGAUUGAAGUAAGAAUCACCUAGUUGGCCGUUAGUAUCUUGCCUGCUAGUGAGAGAUUCCUACUGUUUCAAUGUGUUCGGCAAUUGUUGAUCUGUUGAAGGAACUUGUUACCUACCUCCUCUUCAGGCACUCUGAAUCCUAUCGAAAAUCCUAAAUACCUUGUGCUUUUGCCCUCCUCUAGCCAUUUCAUUUCUAGGUUAGCCUGCCAUUCCCAUGUUCGAGAGUGUCUUGCUGCCCAAAUCCCAAUGGAUUUAUCCCAAUUGAUUUUGGCCCCACUGGCUUCACAGAAUGUGUGUAGGAUGUUUAUAGCUAAGUUGAGAUUCAAUUCUGUGCCUUCUAGGUGAAGAACAAAGUCAUCUGCAAACAUCUGAUUUGUAGUUUUUGUUGAGUCCAGUAAUGUAAAAUCCUUGAGCUCAUUGUUGAGGUCAUCUAACAUACUGUCUAGUAUUUCCCCCACCAGAAGAUAUAAGUAGGGAGCCAGUGAACAUCCUUUACGGACGGGUCUUUGUAGUUUGAAAGUAGUGCCUUCUUGUCCAUUAAGUGAUACACUAGCAUUGGCUUGGGAAUACAAUGCUACUACCAUCCCGAUGUAUUAUGCAGUGAAUCCCAAGGCACUCAUGGCUUGUUCCAAGAACUUCUAAGACACUUGGUCAUAGGCCUCCUCAAAGUCAAGGAGUAGUAGGAUCAGGUUCUGACUACUAGCUUCAGCCCAGUCCAUUGUCCCGAAAGCCAUGUAGAUAUUAUCAAAAAUACAGCGUCCUCUUACAAAUACGGUUUGGGAUUUUUAAUCCAGUCUGGAAACAAGGGUAUCAUUCUGUUUGCAAAGAACUUAGCUAGGAUCUUGUUAACAGAACCAAGGAGAGAGAUGGAUCUAUAAUUGGUUAUCUGUGUUAAGUCUCCAGAUAUUGGGAGUAGGCAGAUUUUACUUGCGUUCAAUAAUUGGCAUUGUGUACAGGUUUGCAUGAGUUUGGAGAGGAGUGCGAGGAGGUCUUGUUUGAUGUCAUCGAAUAAUUCUUUGAAAAAUUCCAUUGGAACUCCGUCCGCCCCUGCUGCCUUGCCUGCUGGGAGAUCUUUUACUGCAGUGCAAAGCUCCUGGAGAGUGGGAGGUUCUGUGAGUUUCGCAUUUUGAAUUUGAGAGUGCAAUCUUAUCUUCCCAGUUGUCCUAGAGCUGUACUUCGGCCGUGUACACCUCUUCGAAACUUAGUUCGAAUUCCUCAAACCAUUUGGUUUUUUGUCUUUUACCCUCGGCGUCACUUUCUCUUUUGACUGCGACGACUGCUGCUGUGAUUCGGGAGUUCCAAGUCUGGAGUGCUCUAUCACAUAUUGGCUGGAGGAUGUCUGCGAUUGUCCCAGGUGAAGUGCUUUUGUGUAAGUUUACAGAAAGAGUCAGCAAGGAUGCUGUCUUGGAGCCCUAGGAGGACUUCACUGAAGUUGGAGAGGACGUCCGUAAGAUACGCUUUGGUCCUCAGGCGGUGGGAAAGGCCAAUAACCUGGGCCCAAAGGGCGGUUUUUGUACUCUUGUUAUCUAUCUGGUUAUCUGUGCCGAAGUAGGGUGUCCAGGAGGAGACUCGAAUCUCUUGGGUCUCUAGCAUAAAGGAUUGUUCAGAGAUUGUUAGGUUCCUACCUUCUUUAUGUGCAAACUCCAGUUCAAAAUAAUUGUUUGCUCUCAUUGAGAGGGCUACGAAGGAUGUGUGUAGUUUCUGACAAGCCCAGAGUGUAAAUUUUUGAACACCUGGAUUCUUUCCUAAUAUCUGUCCUAGCACCAUGACGUCCUCCGCUUGGGAUAAAAGGUUUCUGUGGUUUUCUAGUUUGUCUGCAUUCAAGGUAACUCUGAAUGUGGAUUCUUCUUCUAUAGGUUGUGAGGUAACUGCUCCUUUUCCUGUAUCUAUGUCGUCGAGAGGGUGUUUUACUGGGGAGGGUUAGGUAAUGGUCUCUCUAGUCUUACUGGUGUCUCCAGUUCCAAAGGUUGCCCCACCUCUGGUAUUGUCUUUGGUGCUAGAGUGUCUAGCGAUUCUGAGUAGGCCAGUUUUGCUCGAUCUCCUGGUGUAUCUGAGGGUUUUGUGGUGGGUUGUUCCUGAUCUAGGAAUCGCACCAGUCUUGGAAAAAUCCUUCGUAGAAGAUCCUGGAGGUCCUCAAGUUCUGUAGUUGAGUGGGUAAGACCAAUGUUGGGGUAUUGCUGGAUUAGGUGAUUGCCUUGUGCUCGCUUCUCUUGUAUCUGUUUCUUGAGUAGUAAAAAUAUCUCUUUGUCGAUGUAGCUCUAUGUGGAGUGCAGGCUGAUGUUGCGGCUGAACGUCUCGUAUGGAGAGUUCGUUGCUUUGUCUGGAGGUUUAGUUUGUUGUAAAUCAUGAGUCGUGGUAGGGGUACUUACCUGAUCAAUUGGUGGAGCUGUUUGUUGAGAGGAUGAAACCAGAAUUCGUCAGCAUCAUUGUGCGUUUUGGCUCUGCUCCUAUUUAUCACUCGUCUCCUUGUCUGUGGAAUUGAAUCUCCUCGUAGCUGUGAGUUCUUGCGACUGCGCGUGUAGUAUCCUUCCCCUAGUCCUUCCGCUGGUGUUCCUGGGAUAUCUAGCACACUAGUUGAUCCUGCUUUAGUUGGAGGCGCUACAUCCUUGCCUCCUCUCUGUGCUCCGAACUGGUCAGCUGUCGAAAUAUACGCCAUUCUAUUGCGAAUAGAUUCUAUCUCUAUGCAAAUCGCUCUCCUAGAGUUUGCAAUUGCAAUGCUGAUAAAUGCGCUUGAGUAUGAUCCGGAUCUAGGACGAGAGUGUGACUCCGCGAUUCACGGAGCUCCCCGGCACCCCCCGUCAGUCCCGCUACCAUUGCGCCACGGAUCGCUGGUGCCUUAGACCACUCGUCUAUGCUCACAUGGAAUCAUUUUUUCUAUAGCGUUCAAAUAAUCUCAAGUAAUAUUCCUUGACAGAAGCUUGCUCUACCUCCACCGUGGAGUUAGAAUUGCCUGCAAUGACCCGUCGUAGCUUUUUUUAAUUUUUUCAUUGCGGUGAUGUGGCACUUCGGCUUCAAAAUGAUGCCGCGCUCACUCCACUUCCCACUGACUCUUCCCUGCAGUGUACACAAACAAAGCACACAUAGAAAGUCUACUGUUUUGCAUCUUGAGAACCCUCCUUUACCUUAGAUUUCAAUGACUACCUUCAUCGUUCUUUGACUGCUCAUAUUUGCAAGUUAGAGGGUUCACAUAACUUGUGUUUUUUCGUGACAUGCCAAAUGAUUAAUAAAUUUCGUGCUUUCACUGA